ACGGACCGGACAAACGUUAUUCGGAAUCACUGGGCUUAAAGAGUUCGUAGGCGGCUCAGAAAGUUGGGUGUGAAAUCCCUCGGCUCAACCGGGGAAUUGCGCUCAAAACUACUGAGCUUGAGGAAGGUAGGGGUAAGCGGAACUGAUGGUGGAGCGGUGAAAUGCGUUGAUAUCAUCAGGAACACCAGUGGCGAAGGCGGCUUACUGGGCCUUUUCUGACGCUGAGGAACGAAAGCUAGGGUAGCGAACGGGAUUAGAUACCCCGGUAGUCCUAGCUGUAAACGAUGAGCACUAGAUCGAGGGGACCUCCACAUCCUCUUGGUCGUAGCGAAAGUGUUAAGUGCUCCGCCUGGGGAGUAUGGUCGCAAGGCUG
rnacentral:rRNA from 1 species